rnacentral:ncRNA from 1 species
GAAAAUGCUAUGAAGAGAAGAGUAGUUUUAUAGAAUAUCUAUAAGAGAGCAGGGAAAGCUGAAAACCUGUGAUAGGAAGUAAAAUGAAGAUGGCCUCAGAGCAGAAGUCUUGAGCGUUAAGUGUUAGGGAUUUACGGAUGCAACCGUUAUAUUGCAAGGUGAAUUUUUACCUAUUGAGAUUCUUAUUGUAAGAUAAGAGUGAAGUAGAGUGGUAACACGUUUAUUACGUCUCUAUG